UACGGUAGGGUGCAAGCGUUAAUCGGAAUUACUGGGCGUAAAGCGUGCGCAGGCGGUGAUGUAAGACAGAUGUGAAAUCCCCGGGCUCAACCUGGGAACUGCAUUUGUGACUGCAUCGCUGGAGUACGGCAGAGGGGGAUGGAAUUCCGCGUGUAGCAGUGAAAUGCGUAGAUAUGCGGAGGAACACCGAUGGCGAAGGCAAUCCCCUGGGCCUGUACUGACGCUCAUGCACGAAAGCGUGGGGAGCAACAGG
rnacentral:rRNA from 1 species